rnacentral:rRNA from 1 species
AGCGAACGCUGGCGGCAGGCCUAACACAUGCAAGUCGAACGAACCUUUCGGGGUUAGUGGCGGACGGGUGAGUAACACGUGGGAACGUGCCUUUAGGUUCGGAAUAACUCAGGGAAACUGGGGCUAAUACCGGAUGUGCCCUUCGGGGGAAAGAUUAAUCGCCGUUAGAGCGGCCCGCGUCUGAUUAGCUAGUUGGUUGAGGUAAUGGCUCACCAAGGCGACGAUCAGUAGCUGGUCUGAGAGGAUGAUCAGCCACAUUGGGACUGAGACACGGCCCAAACUCCUACGGGAGGCAGCAGUGGGGAAUCUUGCGCAAUGGGCGAAAGCCUGACGCAGCCAUGCCGCGUGAAUGAUGAAGGUCUUAGGAUUGUAAAAUUCUUUCAGCUGGGACGAUAAUGACGGUACCCGGAGAAGAAGCCCCGGCUAACUUCGUG